rnacentral:rRNA from 1 species
CGGAAGGCCACUUCGGUGGUACUCGAGCGGCGAACGGGUGAGUAACACGUGAGUAAUCUGCCCUUGGCUUUGGGAUAGCCACCGGAAACGGUGAUUAAUACCGGAUACGACAACUACUCGCAUGGGUUGGUUGUGGAAAGUUUUUCGGCCAGGGAUGUGCUCGCGGCCUAUCAGCUUGAUGGUGAGGUAAUGGCUCACCAUGGCUUCGACGGGUAGCCGGCCUGAGAGGGUGACCGGUCACACUGGGACUGAGACACGGCCCAGACUCCUACGGGAGGCAGCAGUGGGGAAUAUUGGACAAUGGGCGGAAGCCUGAUCCAGCAACGCCGCGUGAGGGAUGACGGCCUUCGGGUUGUAAACCUCUUUCGGUAGGGACGAAGCGCAAGUGACGGUACCUACUAAAGAAGCACCGGCCAACUACGUGCCAGCAGCCGCGGUAAUACGUAGGGUGCGAGCGUUGUCCGGAAUUAUUGGGCGUAAAGGGCUCGUAGGCGGUUUGUCGCGUCGGGAGUGAAAACCAGGUGCUUAACACCUGGCUUGCUUUCGAUACGGGCAGACUAGAGGUAUGCAGGGGAGAACGGAAUUCCUGGUGUAGCGGUGAAAUGCGCAGAUAUCAGGAGGAACACCGGUGGCGAAGGCGGUUCUCUGGGCAUGACCUGACGCUGAGGAGCGAAAGUGUGGGGAGCGAACAGGAUUAGAUACCCUGGUAGUCCACACCGUAAACGUUGGGCGCUAGGUGUGGGGUCCAUUCCACGGAUUCCGUGCCGCAGCUAACGCAUUAAGCGCCCCGCCUGGGGAGUACGGCCGCAAGGCUAAAACUCAAAUGAAUUGACGGGGA